GUCUCCGUAGUGUAAUGGUUAGCACGGCUGCUUUACACGCAGAAGGUCCUGGGGUUCAUGCCCCAGGUGGAUCCA
rnacentral:tRNA from 1 species